rnacentral:lncRNA from 1 species
GACCUAAAUGUUUUGAUGACAACAGGCUAAAAAUUGUGGCUAGUCAACUGUAAACCAACAAGAAGAAUAAUUUAUCUGUGAAAUUAUCUAAUCUUGGAUCCCCAUGAUGAUAUUCAAUAUUUAUUGGCUAAGUCAAAACCUUAACAUCUGUUAUGUCUAUUUUUAAA